CGGGGUUGUAGGACCCCGAUAUGGGACCAGAGACGAUAGGCGAAGCGUUUGGAAAGAUGCGACAAAGAGGGUGAAAUCCCCGUAGCCGAAAUCCUCAAUGGCCCUAGGGAGUUCCUGAGUAGCACGGGACACGUGAAACCCCGUGUGAAUCUGCGCAGACCACUGCGUAAGGCUAAAUACUAACUAGCGACCGAUAGUGAACAAGUACCGUGAGGGAAAGGUGAAAAGUACCCCUGUGAGGGGAGUGAAAUAGAACCUGAAACCAUGUGCCUACAAGGUGUAAGAGCUGGGAUUUAUCCUGGUGAUUGCGUGCCUUUUGCUUAAUGAGUCUACGAGUUAGUGUCUGUGGCAAGCUUAAGUCCUUCUGGGACGCAGGCGUAGCGAAAGCAAGUCCGAAUAGGGCGAUUUAGUUGCAGGCGCUAGACCCGAAGCGGAGGCGACCUACCCAUGGCCAGGUUGAAGCGACAGUAAAAUGUCGUGGAGGACCGAACCGAUGUGUGUUGAAAAACGCUCGGAUGAGCUGUGGGUCGGAGUGAAAGGCUAUUCAAGCCCCGUGAUAGCUGGUUCUCCUCGAAAUGCAUUUAGGUGCAGCGUUGCGUGUUGAUGAGUGGGGGUAGAGCACUGAAAGGGCUAGGGGGCAUACCCGCCUACCAACCCCUAUCAAACUCCGAAUACCAUUCAAUAGAGCGCAGCAGUGAGACAGUGGGGGAUAAGCUUCAUUGUCGAAAGGGAAACAGCCCAGAUCAGCAGCUAAGGUGCCAAAAUCAUGCUAAGUGGAAAGGAGGUGGGGUUUCUUAGACAGUGAGGAUGUUGGCUUAGAAGCAGCCACCAUUUAAAAAAUGCGUAAUAGCUUACUCAUCGAGAGACCCUGCGCCGAAAAUGAUUGGCGAUAAGCAUGAUACCGAAGCUCUGGAUGUCAGAAUCCUGCGGGAAUCUGGCGUGGUAGAGGAGCAUUGUCAUCUGCAUUGAAGCGGAAAGGCGACUGACCGUGGAGUGAUGACAAGAGAGUAUGUAGACAUGAGUAACGAUAAGCCGGGUGAAAUCCCCGGCCGCCGUAAACCCAAGGUUUCCCGGGCAACGUUUUUCGUCCCGGGGUUAGUCGGGACCUAACCCGAGGCCGAUAGGCGUAGGGGAUGGUAAGCUGAUUAAUAUUUCAGCACCUGCAAAGUGAAGGGGACGCUUACUGGAUUGCAACCAGGUUAUUGAAUUCCGAGGGGAGGCCUUGUGCCGAACCGUAUUGCAUGAAUGUGAGCCAAGAAAAGCCGACACGACUAAAAGCAGCCCGUACCGUAAACCGACACAGGUGGGUGGGUAGAGUAUACCAAGGCGCAAGAGUGAAACCUGGUCAAGGAACUCGGCAAAAUAGCCCCGUAACUUCGGGAGAAGGGGUGCCUGUCUUCGGACAGGUCGCAGUGAAAUGGGUCAACCGACUGUUUAGCAAAAACACAGCAUUCUGCUAAGGCGCAAGCCGAUGUAUAGGAUGUGACACGUGACCAAUGCCAAAAGAUUACGAUGAGAUGUUAGCACUUUAGUGCGAAGCUUUGAGUCUAAGUCCUGGUGAAUGUCGGCCGUAACUAUAACGGUCCUAAGGUAGCGAAAUUCCUUGUCGGGUAAGUUCCGACCUGCACGAAUCGUGCAACGAGUUGACCACUGUCUCGACCAGGAGCUCAGUGAAAUUGUAGUGCCGGUGAAGAUGCCGGCUACCCGCAGAAGGACGGAAAGACCCUAUAGACCUUAACUGUAAGCUGUUACUGGUUAUUCGAUUUUAAUGCUCAGCAUAAGUGGGAGACUUUGAAGGGUGCGUUUAGGCGCAUCUGGAGUCGCUAGUGAGAUACCACCCUUUGACAUUGGAUAAUCUAACCCCGAGCCGUCACCCGGCCGGGGGACCGUGGCAGCCGGUCAGUUUUACUGGGGCGGUAUCCUCCUAAAGAGUAACGGAGGAGCGCGAAGGUUGGUUCAGCACGGUCUGCAACCGUGUGUCGAGUGUAAUGGCACAAACCAGCCUAACUGUGAGACCCACAAGUCGAGCAGAUACGAAAGUAGGCCAUAGUGAUCCGGCGGUAGAAAGUGGAAUUGCCGUCGCUCAACGGAUAAAA
rnacentral:rRNA from 1 species